rnacentral:rRNA from 1 species
AAAGAGUUUGAUCCUGGCUCAGAUUGAACGCUGGCGGU